rnacentral:rRNA from 1 species
CUACGUGCCAGCAGCCGCGGUAAUACGGAAGGUCCAGGCGUUAUCCGGAUUUAUUGGGUUUAAAGGGAGUGUAGGCGGUUUGUUAAGCGUGUUGUGAAAUUUAGAUGCUCAACAUUUAACUUGCAGCGCGAACUGUCAGACUUGAGUACACGCAACGUAUGCGGAAUUCAUGGUGUAGCGGUGAAAUGCUUAGAUAUCAUGAAGAACUCCGAUUGCGAAGGCAGCAUACGGGAGUGUAACUGACGCUUAAGCUCGAAGGUGCGGGUAUCGAACAGGAUUAGAUACCCUGGUAGUCCGCACAGUAAACGAUGGAUGCCCGCUGUUAGCGCCUGGCGUUAGCGGCUAAGCGAAAGCAUUAAGCAUCCCACCUGGGGAGUACGCCGGCAACGGUGAAACUCAAAGGAAUUGACGGGGGCCCGCACAAGCGGAGGAACAUGUGGUUUAAUUCGAUGAUACGCGAGGAACCUUACCCGGGCUUGAAUUGCAGAGGAAUUAUUUAGAGAUA